GACGAACGCUGGCGGCGUGCUUAACACAUGCAAGUCGAACGGUAAGGCCCUUCGGGGUACACGAGUGGCGAACGGGUGAGUAACACGUGGGUGAUCUGCCCUGCACUUCGGGAUAAGCCUGGGAAACUGGGUCUAAUACCGGAUAGGACCACUGCCUGCAUGGGUGGUGGUGGAAAGCUUUUGCGGUGUGGGAUGGGCCCGCGGCCUAUCAGCUUGUUGGUGGGGGGAUGGCCUACCAAGGCGACGACGGGUAGCCGGCCUGAGAGGGUGACCGCCCAACAGGGGACUGAGAUACGGCCCAGACUCCUACGGGAGGCAGCAGUGGGGAAUAUUGCACAAUGGCGCAAGCCUGAUGCAGCGACGCCGCGUGAGGGAUGACGGCCUUCGGGUUGUAAACCUCUUUCAGCACCGACGAAGCGCAAGUGACGGUAGGUGCAGAAGAAGGACCGGCCAACUACGUGCCAGCCGCCGCCGUAA
rnacentral:rRNA from 1 species